GAUGAACGCUGGCGGCGUGCCUAAUACAUGCCAGUCGAGCGAACAGACGAGGAGCUUGCUCCUCUGACGUUAGCGGCGGACGGGUGAGUAACACGUGGAUAACCUACCUAUAAGACUGGGAUAACUUCGGGAAACCGGAGCUAAUACCGGAUAAUAUAUUGAACCGCAUGGUUCAAUAGUGAAGGACGGUUUUGCUGUCACUUAUAGAUGGAUCCGCGCCGCAUUAGCUAGUUGGUAAGGUAACGGCUUACCAAGGCAACGAUGCGUAGCCGACCUGAGAGGGUGAUCGGCCACACUGGAACUGAGACACGGUCCAGACUCCUACGGGAGGCAGCAGUAGGGAAUCUUCCGCAAUGGGCGAAAGCCUGACGGAGCAACGCCGCGUGAGUGAUGAAGGUCUUCGGAUCGUAAAACUCUGUUAUUAGGGAAGAACAAGUGUGUAAGUAACUAUGCACGUCUUGACGGUACCUAAUCAGAAAGCCACGGCUAACUACGUG
rnacentral:rRNA from 1 species